rnacentral:rRNA from 1 species
UACGGAGGGUGCAAGCGUUAUCCGGAUUUAUUGGGUUUAAAGGGUGCGUAGGCGGAUUUAUAAGUCAGUGGUGAAAUCUCCCCGCUCAACGGGGAAACUGCCAUUGAAACUAUUUAUCUUGAGUACAUUUGAGGCGGGCGGAAUGUGUCAUGUAGAGGUGAAAUUCUUAGAUAUGACACAGAACACCAAUUGCGAAGGCAGCUCGCUAAACUGUAACUGACGCUGAGGCACGAAAGCGUGGGGAUCAAACAGG